rnacentral:lncRNA from 1 species
AGGAGAGCAGAGCUUGGAAACAGCACGAGAGCUGAAGCUUUUCACAGAGGGUACACAGAGCAGGAGGCAGGUGGUAGAGGUCAUGAUGGACUGCGUUGCACUUUCCUGUAAAGUCUGUACCUCCUGGCAGGGGCUCCUGCUCACAGGUGAGGAGGCUACUCUUUAGCACUGAGUGGGAGAAGGGGAUCUCACAGCUUGUUGAAGUUCCUGAAGAAGUCAAGAACCUGGGGAUAGUCUUAGGGUUUUGGGAAGUAGACAUAGACAGGAACAGGAACUCUGCAACAGAAAGUGACACAAGAUAGUAUAAUGGAGAAAUAGCACCAUUGUUUUCUAUUGAAGUCAAUCGCAUGGACAACUGUAUUCUAAGGAUUGAUGUUCCCAACCAUGAGAGUGACUGUCCAAUUUAAAAAAAAAAUAGGAAGAUGAUUUAAUGGUCAUGCUGUUGGCUGCCAAUCCUAAGACAGCAAUUCAAUUCCCAACACAUACAAGGUGUGUGAUUUCCAUGUAUAUGCUGUGUAUGCAUUCACCUAUACACAAAUGCACAUGAGUGCACACAUAUAUAAACAUUCACCUUCCUCACACAUACAAACAAUACUAAAAUCUUGUACUAAAUGUUUCAUUAGCUUCAUAUUUCAGCAUUUUUCAGUGUACUCCUGGAUUGGAAUAUCCCUGGCACAUGCAUUCUCCAACUCAUCCAAAGGUAUCCAAGCCUUUAUCAGUUCUGGACUUUCCAAAGAUAUCAGGCUCAUCUUGUUUCUAAUAAAUCUCUAGACUAAUGGAAUAUAAGUUAGACCAGAAAGAACAUCUAGAAGUAGAAUCAGAGAAUUCAGACCAAAGAGAGAAAACAAAAAAUC